rnacentral:rRNA from 1 species
AUGGAGACCCCGCCGCCGCCGCCGCGCUGGCCGCCGGGCUUCCGCUUCAGCCCCACCGACGAGGAGCUCGUCCUCUUCUUCCUCAAGCGCCGGGUCGCCGCCGGCCGCCCCUCCCCCUACAUCGCCGACGUCGACGUCUACAAGUCCCACCCCUCCCACCUCCCCGAGCGGUCGGCGCUGCGGACGGGGGACAAGCAGUGGUUCUUCUGCAGCCGGCUGGACCGCAAGUACCCCAACGGCUCGCGCGCCAGCCGCACCACCGCCGACGGCUACUGGAAGGCCACGGGCAAGGACCGCUCAAUCUGCAACGCCGGCCGCGCCGUCGGGAACAAGAAGACGCUCGUCUACCACCACGGCCGCGCGCCGCGCGGGGAGCGCACCGACUGGGUCAUGCACGAGUACACCAUCCUCGCCGACGCGCUCCCGCCGCCCGCGCGGGGCCGCGAGUCCUACGCCCUCUACAAGCUCUUCGAGAAGAGCGGGGUCGGCCCCAAGAACGGCGAGCAGUACGGCGCGCCCUUCCGGGAGGAGGACUGGCUGGACGACGACGACGACUGUGAGCUGCCCGCUGAUCCCAUCCCUAUCGCCGUCAGUCUACCUACUAGAACUGUGACAGUGGUCGAGCAGAUUGGGGAUGUCUUGACAGUGGACGACCAGAUUGGGGAUGUUUUGACAGUUGUCGACCAGAUUGGGGGUGUGGCAGUGGACAAGCAGAUUGGGGUUAUGACAGUGGACGACCAGAUUGGGGAUCUUGAGGUGUUCCUGUUGCAAAAUGGAGAUGAUCAGGGAAACAGUGAACCACAGUCGGAUUUCUCGACACCGGUUUCUUCACAGGCUCCGCUUCAGCAUGGCCACCCUCAAGGUCGGCCCAGUGAUGACGGUAACACAUCUGAGGUUGCAGAUGCUACAACCAGCAGCCGUGGUAUGGUAAUGGCAGAGAAUACGUGCACUGAACUCCCUUUUGGGGAUCUUGAGGGGCUACUGAUGGAAAUAUCGGAUGAUCAACGGGCCACUAAAUCGUUCCAAGAAUUCUCAGAAUUCGUUCCCCAACUGCAGCUUCAGCAUGAUGAUCAUGAGCAUGAGGCUUGGCCCAAUGCCAACAUGGAGGAGAUUAGUGUUGCAGAUUAUACCACUAGUAAUGGCGUUGUGGACGCUUCAGGAUGUACUGUCACCGAGCUUCCCUAUGAGGAUAUUGAAGGGCUUCUGUUGCAAUUAGAGAAUGACCAGGGAAAUGUCCAACCGCUGGCAGAUUUCUCCACACCAGUUCCUCGUCAUGAGUUCCAUCAGGUUGGCUCUGGAGAUUUCCAUGGAUGUCACGGUGCUACAUUCAGCUCUGUAGAUCCUUCUUCUGCAGUGCAAGAAAACAGAGAUCUUGAUCCACGAUCAGAUCCCAGUAAUCAAAUUACACAGUCUGCUCUCACCAACAUGCCAUUGAAUUGGGAAACAGAUUGCACUGAAGAAACAAGUGCGAUGCGAUCUGUGUCUGGGUUGGCCAGUUAUGACGGCCAGGAUGCUGAUGAGGAGUUCCUUGAAAUCAACGAUUUCUUGGAUCCAGAAGAUGUAGGACAACAGAGUAUGAAUUGUACUGCAACCGAGCACUUGAUUUCUUCAUCCAAUGAGAUGUUUGACAGUUUGGAGUUUGCCGACGCUUCCAUGUUUCUACCUGGCUCAUUUGACACAGCUGGAGUGGCGACUGAAAAUCAGUUUGGUUAUCUUGGUGAUAGUGGAUCCCAGAACCAGGGAUUGCAGUAUACAUCUGAAUCGUGGACGCACAACCAGGUUGCUCUGAAUGUGCGGAACCACAUGAAUCAUAAUCAUGUUGUCUUCUCACAUGCAUCAGGCACUGCGAAUUUCCACACAGUGAAUGAGCAACCACAUAACCUGAGUCCAGCGGAUUCACAGUCAUGGUUCAAUUCAGCUGUAUCAGCCCUGCUGGACGCGGUACCUGCCAAUCCAGCUCUGGCGGCUGAAAACAAUGUUCUCAACAGAACACUCCAACGCAUUUCUAGCUUUAGGUCAGAACAAGCUCCGAAGGAAGAAGCAAGCGCCCCAGUUAUCCAGGUUAGAAGAAGGCGCGCAGGGCUGAUCUCGGUCUCGCUACUGGUUUUGCUUGCUGCCAUCCUGUGGACCUUUGCUGCUGGCACUGGGUACGCAAUCAAGUUCUGCAAGGGGUUAUGGAAGUCCUCUACAUGA